ACCUUUUCUCUCUGUUCCCAAAAAUGGCGACAAACACAAUGACAAUCUCAAGUUCUCAACAUCAUUACUAUUUCUUCAUCCACUCUCCUUUAAACACUUCUCUUCUUCCUUAAUUCCCUUCAAACUCAGAAAAUCUCAAGUUUCUAACUUCAAUUUGAGUUUAAAUUGAUUCAGAAAUGCAUCUACUGUUCCUGUUAUUUAAGCACAAACCACCCCAGGUAUUGGAUCUUGAUUCUUUUCAUGAAAUAAAUUGUGGGUUUGCUGAUUUCUAUGGUGUUGUUAUCAGAUUACAUGCCAGACUCCAAAUUUUACAAAAUUGCAGCGAUUUUAAGGUGAAAAGAUUAUUUGUUUAUAUGGUUUUAUUUUUGUUAUUUGAUUCAAGGCCAUGUAGAGUUGAACAGGUUUCAUCAGUAAGGCGAAUUCUAGUAGAUAUUUUAUUUAUAAAGUAGAAAAUUCUUGACAUUAGAAUAAGCACUAUGCAUUUCAUACCUGCAUUUUUAUGGAUGGCAACAAAUAUUUCUAGUAAUAAGUAUGUCGAAAGGAUUGUAUUCCAUGAAUUAAAUGAAGUACAUGCGGAAAGCUUAUUUUUUGUUUUAAGUGAUACUGUGAUAGGGUUGUGUUUUGGGGAUUUAGGGUGAAUACAACUUAGAGCAAGCACUAUGGUAUGUAAGUCUUUCAUAUCUAAGGUUUGUUCCAUGGAAUAACAACUACUAUGGUUGUUUUCACCAUGGAAGAAACACUUCGCGUGGCAUUGAUAGUUGCUCAACAACUUGUUCAUUUUGGUGUUUCUGUAUUAUUUAUCAAUCUUUGGCCAUUCUAUUGGUUCUAAACUUUCUGAAGACAAUUUCGUAGCGACGUUAAUCUGGAGACUGGUGUCUGCAAAGAACAGGUGAGGAAGUAAUUGCCAAGAUAAUCGAGGAAUCAAGAACUGGGGAGAUUGGUGAUGGCAAGAUCUUUUACUCCAGACAGGGAGUGGUUUUGAACUGCUGCGCUACUGCGUGUAACUUCGGGGAAUUUCUUAUUGUUCGGCAUUCUUGCCAUUAGUGUGUGAGUUGGGGGAAUUUCUUAUUUUUCACCAUUCUUGCCACUAUAAUGAUUGGUGUGGAGGACCGGAAGGACUAGGACUGUUUGCACUUUGCACCAUGGUGGAUGGAGGAUGAAGGUUGUUAGUUGGUGCCUUAUGGUGAUUUAUUCCAAAUGGUAUCAUCAGCUUUUUAUGGUUCUGUUUUUCAUUUCGAGGUUUGGCUUACAGCUUUUUUUUAGCAUUUUAUAAUCUGUAAAUGCUGAGACAAUAUCCAAAUUUGGCUCAGGAUCCUUUUUUCUCGUUCUAGAUGUUAUCUUCUCUUGCUGGAUUAUGUUCAAUGAUGGAACGACAACUGGGUUGGUUAAAAAGGAUGAACAGUUCUGCCCAUCAACAAAGCUUGAAUCUUUACAAUACCUAAAUUCCAUUUAUCCACUUCUCUUUCAUCCUCACUUGCUAUCUAAUUUUCUUCUAAGAUAAUUCUUUUUGGUUAUUUAUCCUUAUCAUAAACUUCUAUCACAGAUUGCAGGUAUAGUGCUCUAUUUGUUGUUUCACCGUCUGCCACAUGGUCGAAGUCAGCAAUUUCAAAUUUCUCAGGAGGCUUUCCACGUGACAUACUCCAGUUGACGAAGAGCUGUUGCAUCUUUUUGAAUUUCGAUGGAUCUAGCCUGCGUGCAAUUUGAGGUGCAUAUGCAUGCAGACCCCAUGGCAUGGCUUAUAAUGAAGCAUCCUCAUUCUGUUUAGUUCCAACUAAUACAAGUUAUUAAAAAUCAGUAAAGUCCAGAACUUUAAUUUGUUAACCAAGCUGUAUCAGUCUGCUGCAACCGAGGAAGUGACAAUUGGUGUUUCGAGGAUCUUAGAGGUACUCGCAUUUUCUUGUUCAUGCUUCCAUUUUUCAUGAAGAUCUAUCUGAACUUCCUAAUUUUAACUUCUAGAAAUUUUGCAACAGUGUUCAUUCUUACGGUUUGGAUUAAAACCUGGGAGUCUGAGUUUGUUACUUUAUAAGUCACAGUGUUUGAAACUGAUCAUCAGACUUUGAAAGUGUAAACCUUAUUCGUCGUAUAAUAUCAACUACUAUUGAGA